UCUAGCGAUGAUGGCGAAGAGGUCACACCCGUUCCCAUGCCGAACACGGAAGUUAAGCUCUUCAGCGCCGAUGGUAGUUGGGGGUUUCCCCCUGUGAGAGUAGGACGUUGCUAGGC
rnacentral:rRNA from 1 species